UCGACUUGCACUCGCAUUUGUCCACGUCCAGGGACUCGAGCUUCUCCUUCAUGAAGCUGAACGGCAUGACUGCAAGAGCGAUCGAUCCCACAUCAGGCGCUUGCUGUUUGAUCAUCAUGUUGGUCUGGGCAACACUUACAUGAGGUGAAGUUGAACUGCCUGACGCUGCCAACACCGCCGUCGCCCUCCACGGGAUGGGCGCUUGUGACGACGUGAGAGGCGACCUUGGGCGCCAGGUUGUGCCAGUCCAUCACGGCGGCGCGGAACAGGCGCGGCGCGGCCACCGGCGACGGGAUCUCUAGGGUCCAGCUGUUGGAAGCCAUGCUGGUGGUGGUCUGGGAUGAGCUUUGGCUCGGUGCCUAGGCCUAGUUUGAUACUAGUAGCUGGAGCUGCUGCUUGUGUUGCUGGAACGAGCGGCAACAAGGUAUUUAAAUAGAGUGCGGUGAGCGCGGGGUUGGUGACGCUUUGCCCGGUUGGUGUCCGGUGGUGACUGGUGAGGGCCUCAAGUUGCUGGGCGAGUCGUCGGGCUUUUCCACAAUGGAUGGCUCUGUCGGUCGAGUGAGCUUUUAGUAAGGCGGGCGUCGAAACACACGUCUUGCACGGUCUUUGUCAAAACACGAGGAUAUAUUCGAGGAGUAUGUUGACGGAAUUGGCGCCACCUUCCGCUUGCACAAUUUGGUCUUUGGUAUAUAAAAGUAGUAUGUAAUGACUGUCAGAGUUCUAGAUAUUUGACUGCAUGUCUGCAUGCUAGGAUAACUUCCAUUCUAGAACGAUAUGAGGCCCUUGACUAACAUGAAUACAUCAUCUUUUGAAUUUAGACAUGAGAAGACUUAAAUUUUGUUUGACAUAACUCAACUUUAUUUUUGAAACUGCUUUUUUUAAAUAGCUCUACGUGCAACUUUCUCGGUAUUAAAAAGUUAUUUUAUAAAAUAGCUUCACUAACAACUUUAUGUAUGGUUGAGAGAGAGAAAUGAAAGAGCGCUUUGAAAAGUUAUUUUUAGCUCUAUUUUUCUGUGAGAGCAUAAAAAAGGUGUUUGACAAAAAACAACAACAACUCACAACAGCUCAUGAAGUUGUUGGUUAAACCGUGUCACAUAGAGCCUCACUUGCUGUCGACGAAAGCUGGUCGGCAGUCUACCUUGGGGUAUACCCACGGUAGUAGUUUAUUGGUAGACGGUGCGCAAACUACGAACUCGACGGUGACGCAAGACUCGGACAAGCUUUUUAUCCAGGUUCGGCCGCCGAGUUGGCGUAAUACCUACGUCCUGCGUCUGGUUGUAUUGAUUUGUGUUGAGAGAAUAUCCUGUCCUAGGGGGGUCCCUUGCCCCUCCUUAUAUAGUCUGGAGGGCAGGGUUACAGAUCUGGAAACUAAUCCUAGUCGGUUACAAUUGUCAUAGAUAGUUCGAUAUCAAUUCCUAUUCUAACCGACUAGAAUCCUGCUUGAUCUCCACAUCUUGCUUCCUUGCGCGAAACCCCAUGCUGUCGGAUCAAGCCUUGAACUCGUCUCGUAAUGGGCCAAGCCUCCUGGCCCAAGUCUAGCCAUAAGGGUAUAGGGGUCUAUCCCCCCACACUUGCUGACAGUGAUGCCACCUUUUUCUUCUUAUCUCAUCCCUUAUGGAUCUUUUAUGAGAAACAUCUUGUUUAAUUUAUAAAAAAACUACCCUUUUUUUAAGUGACUCCUUCUUGCUCUAGCGAGAUCUUUUACCGUUGUCGAAAUGGUAACAUGAUGUACCACUCAACAUGCAUGAGAGGUAAACCACGGUACCUUUAGGACUAAUAGUUUUGACACCUACAGUACCAAACUCAAGUUAUAUAGUUUUGAUAACUUACCAAGGAUAAUAAAAAAAAACUCCUUACAAAUGCCUUCUAUGGCUUCUUAUAGGCACUUGUUAUGAUAUAAGGACACAACUAUGACAAUUAAGGAAUGGUGGGCAUCCUUAUUGAAGGUCCAUUUGGACUUUGGAUGCAAGGGGUAAUUGGUAGUUAGCUAAGAAUUAGCUCCCGUGUAUCUAAAUAGGAAUAUAUGUGCUAAUUUUUUAAUUAGCCAAGUUUUCAGCUAGUCGUUAGGCAAAUAGCUAGCCAACUAUAAACUAAUUUAGACUAAUUUUUAGCCCCAACUAAUAACUAGUGUAUCCAAAUAGAGUAGAAUUGUAAAAGAGAACGAUGGUAGUUCUAGUGUACUAUUUUUAGGAUGUCUACAAAUAACAAAAUAGAAGGGCUUUGCACGGAAAGAUGAAUUGACUCUAAAAAAGAAGGCUUGUGGCAAACCUAGUUUAGGCUUUUCAUUUCGCUGAAAAUACACUGAAAAGUACUGUUCACUGAUUUGUUGUGAGAGAAAAAUCCUGUAUCAUGACUGAUAAAUCUAAUGUCAUUGUUGUAUUCUUUUGUAACUUAAAUUUGCAAAAAUCUACAUUUUCUUUCUUUUUUAAAAGAAAAUGGACAGACAAGAGAGCUACCUUUUAUAUAGUACAGUCAGGCUUCUCCUUACGUGACCUGUCAUUUCUUAAAAAGAAAUGCAAGCUCGGUUGAUAAGGGUUUAGCCGUUUGAGGCCGCCGUUGAGCAUCACUUUUGUCUAAACUCAGAAAAUGAACUAAAAGCUGCUGUGAAGAGAUUUCGUGGCUUAUGAUUUGUUCUGGAAGCUAAAAAAAUAUUACAAAAUUCAAUAAUGAAAAUACAACAGUCAGAAGCCACAAAAUCAGCUUUUAUGUCAAAAGUACAAAAGAUACCGCUCAAACAAACAAGCCCUUAAAUGUCUUCUUCUCCCAGCUCUCUAGUGAACGCUAUAGCUCUUGGAGCUUUCAUAUUUUCCAUAAUAAUUUUAAACACUCUACCAAUAUCUACUGAAAAUGUAUCGAAAAAAUCAAAAUAUCUAUUAGAAAUGAGCAAAAUUAUCGGUCAAACUUGCAUAGAAUUCGAAAACAAAAUGCCCCUAUUCUUCCCACACAUAAAACCAUUGUAUACCCAUUUUCUGUCCCUUCUUCUUUCAAGAAAGUCAUUGUAUACCCAAAUAGUUUUCCAUCCGCCCUAUUUAUAGUCCAGUUUAUCCAGUUUUUGGUAAAACCUAGCCUAGCCCGUAGGAUUUAUCUACAACAGUUUCUAACCCACAGGUACCAGCGGUUUCCCUCCUGAUCUUCCCCAAUCGCCCACUUGCAACACCACGUUGCUCAUUGUUAACUUACUCUCCACGGACCUGUCCGCUCGUCGCGCUCGCCUCGAGCCGUCCGUGCGCUCUGGAGAUCCUAACUUUAUAUAUGGCCAUGCAGCCCAUGGCCCGGUGGCCCGGCCCAUGGCCUGACGAUUUGGCACGGCCCGAGGGACCCUGCCUAGGCCACCACCUAUGCACGCGACAUGGCCCAAGCAUGGCUUUAUCCAACGGUUGGCCCGGUAGCGGCUCGGUGAAAAUAAACUGUUGUGUAGUUGUGACUUAUAUAUAUAUGUGCCGUUAAUUGUUAUAUUGGAGAAAAUGAUGAACAAUUGGUGAAAAUGAUAAAGUGUUUUAGCACUUAGUGAAAAUGUUAAUGAAAAUGAACUGUUUUCGGCUAAACGGGUCGUGGGCUGGCACAAUACGAGAAAAACGCCAUGCUUGACGGGCCGACACGACACGAAAACCGGCCCAUAGGCCGUGCCUUAGGCCGAAGGCUAUGCAUGAAGUCCAUGGAGGCACGACCCGCAGCACGACACUGCAUGACGUUGGACAUAUAUAAUCCUAAAGCAGGACGAUUAGAAGGAAGAAGAUGGGGGUCUCCACCUGUCGUGCAGUGGAAUUCUCGUGCCUCCCCGUGCAUGGCCACGGUGCCACCAUUGACCACACGAGCGCGGCGUGGUGUGCGUCCGAAGAUGUUGUGGCUGGCGUUGAAGACAACCUCGAAGUUGUGCCUCUGUCCUCCAUUGGUGCCCAUGGGUACGCUGUUGAGCGGCGCUGGUGCCCCCUUCGUCGGCACGGGAGGAAGAACACGACCAAGUUUAACGAGUUGAGUGGUGUGGAAACGUCGCAAACCAACACGCGUGGUUUCUCCUGACACGGUUUACCGUGGGCUGAUUCACGGGUACACGGUUAGUAUACAUAUAUAUAGGGGGUGUUUGGUUCAAAAAAUGCAAAUGUCAAUUACUUUGUAAUGAUGGAAUGUAAAAGGUCAAACUUUUCAUGGUUAUGUUUAGUAAUGCAGAAUUUAUUGUCUUUAUAAGGGCCUCUUGAGGUUCUUUUGGUGUGUUUUUUUGCCUCUUGAGGUCAAAAUCUAAAAUAAAGAAUAAUUAUUUUUUUGCUAAAAAUUUUGCAUGCUGUUUAGUUAUAUUAUACAGAACAAUGGACCAAAACCAAGAAUUUUUUAGAAUAGCAGGGGAAAACACCCAUAAUCGCACAACGACAGCAUGCUACAUACCACUCAUAACAUCUCAAGUCCACACACCGCACACUGCUUAGAGCAGCUUUAUUUAUUUUGUACGAAAAAAGGAACAUGAAAGAAAAAAAAUCCAGUCUCUGAAUAUAUCAAAACAUGUAUAAGACCACCCGUGAAGUGCAAUCGCAUCCCCAUCCACAGAUUUAGUUGUAGGCGUCGGGGUUGGCGACGAGGUAGGCCUCGGCACCCUUGAAGAUGGCGGUGACUGCCUCCUUGGCCUUGACUUCCUCGCCCUUCACGUCCACACCCGGCAGCAGCUUGUAGGUCGACUCCACCUUCACCACGCUGCCGCCGCCGGCCGCGGGCUCCACCUUGAUGUGCGACGCCGCGGUCUCGACGGCCACGCCGAUGCCGCCUCCCUCGACGAGCGUCGACUUGCACUCGCACUUGUCCAUGUCCAGGGACUCGAGCUUCUCCUUCAUGAAGCUGAAUGGCAUGACUGCAAGAGCGAUCGAUCCCACGUCAGGCGCUAGCUGUUUGAUCGAUGAUCAAGCGAGAGAACAUCAUGUUGGUCUGGGCAACACUUACAUGAGGUGAAGUUGAACUGCCUGACGCUGCCAACACCGCCGUCGCCCUCCACGGGAUGGGCGCUUGUGACGACGUGAGAGGCGACCUUGGGCGCCAGGUUGUGCCAGUCCAUCACGGCGGCGCGGAACAGGCGCGGCGCGGCCACCGGCGACGGGAUCUCGAGGGUCCAGCUGUUGGAAGCCAUGGCUGGUGGUCUGCGAUGAGCUUUGGCUCGGUGCCUAGCUAGGUCUAGUUUGAUUAGCUGAUGCAAGUAGGUGGAGCUGCUGCUUGUGUUGCUGGAACGAGCGGCAAAAAGGGAUUUAAAUAGAGUGCGAUGAGCGCGGGGUUGGUGACGCUUUGCCCCGUUGGUGUCCGGUGGUGACUGGUGAGGCCUGAAAGUUGCUGGGCGAGUCGUCGCGCUUUUCCACAAUGGAUGGCUCUCCGUCGGUCGAGUGAGCUUUAUUAAUAAGGCGGGCGUCCAAAACACACGUCGUUGUCGCACACUCUUUGUCAAAACACGAGGAUAUAUUCGAGGAAUAUGUUGACCGAAUUGGCGGCUUGCCGCCACCUUCCGCUUGCACAAAUUGGUCUAGGUCUUAAAAACAAGCCAUGUAUGUCACAUUUGGUUGGUAUAUACAAGUAGUAUGUAAUGACUGUCAGAGUUCUAGAUAUUUGACUGCAUGGAUGUCUGCAUGCUGGAUAACUUCCAUUCUAGAACGAUAUGCCUUGACUAACAUGAAUUCAUCAUCUUUUGAAUUUAGACAUGAGAGGACUUAAGUUCCGUUUGACACAACUCAGUUUUAUUAUCGAAGCUGUUUCUUUAGAUAGCUUUAUGAGUAACUUUCUUGGCUGAGCUAUUUUAGAAAAUCAUUUUGUAAAAUAGUUUCACUAACAACUUUAUGCAUGGUUGAGAGGGGAAAAUGAGAGAGCUUUUUGAAAAGUUGUUUUUUAGUUCUACUUUUCCGUGGGAGCAUAAAAAAGGUGUUUGACAAAAGAAAAGAGUAAAGUCCAUCACCAGUCUCUAAACUUGUUUAGGUAUAUCAUCCCGGUCUCUAACUCGCAAAACGAUCGUUUAGGUACCUAAACUUGUUCGGCUAUAUCACUCUGGUCCCUAAACUUGGAAAUCUCAUAUAUAGGCCUUCAAACUUGUUUAGUUGUGUCAUCCCAGUCCCUAAACUUGUUUUUAAGUCUCGUCUGGUUCAAAACGGAACGAAUCUAAAAACUCUAUAAAUAACUCAUAACUUUUUCAUAUAAACUCAAAUAAAGAUAAACUUUAUAUUAAAAUUAUAGCCAACAAUGUGAUCUACAACUUUGUAGUUAAAAAGUUUUUAAACUAAAAUAAUUUAGGGUCUCAUUUUUUUGUAAGUUUAUUAAAUUUUGUGACACUAAAUGACUUCAAAUAAAAAACUUUUCAACUACAAAGUUAUAGAUCACAUUGAAGGCUACAACUUUAAUAUAAAGUUUGUUUUCAUUCAAGUUUAUAUGAAAACGUUAUGAAUUAUUUUUCUAUAUAGAGUUUUUAGAUCGCUUUGUUUUGACCCAGGUGAGACUCAAGACCAAGUUUAGGGACUGAGAUGACACAACUGAAUAAAUUUAAGGACCUAAAUGGGUAAUUUCUAAGUUUAGAAACCAGGAUGACACAUCUGAACAAGUUUAGAGACCGGAAUGAUAUAGACAAACAAGUUUAAUGACCUAAAUGAUCAAUUUAUGAGUUUAGGGACCGAUCGAGGUGAUACAACAGGUGGUGGAUUUUACUAUAAAAACUCACAACAACUCAUGAAGUUGUUGAUGAAGCUGUGCCAAAUAAGGCCUCACUUGCUGACGGUGUUGUCACCCUUUUCUUCUUAUCUCACCCUUUACAGAUCUUUUACAAGAAACAUCUUGUAAACAAAUCGUUGUCACCCUUUUUUUUUUGUUGAGUGACCCCUUCUCGCUCUAGCAAGAUCUUUUGCCGUUCUUCAAAUGGUAACAUGAUGUACCACUCAACAUGCAUGGGAGGUAAAAAAAAUGGUACCUAGGUACUAAUACUUUUGAUAGCUACAGUACCAAACUCAAGUUAUAUAUAGUUUUGAUACCUUACCAACGAUAAAAAAACUCCUUACAAAUGACUUCUAUGGCUUCUUAUAGACACUAGUUGCUAUAUGAUAUAAGGACACAACUAUGACAAUUAAGGAGUGGUGGGGUCUUUAUUAAAGGUUUGUUUGGACUUUGGAUACAAGGCGUAAUUGCUAGUUAGCUAAGAACUAGCUCGUGUAUCUAAAUAUGAGAGUUAAUAGGUGAGUUACUUUUAUAGUCAUUUUUUUUACUAGUCGUUAGUCAACAACCAGUAACUAGCCAUGUGUAUCUAAAUCUCCUACAACUAAAAAGAACAAAACGUGGAUACUUUUUGGUGCGACAUUCUAACGUGGGCCCAUAGUCCUGCCUGCUGCGUUCCCGUGGCCACUCUACAUCGUGCAUGACAUCCCUUGCGAUAUUCAAUUCAAAUCAAGAAUCGAUAUGUCAGGUUCCAGUUUUUAUACGAUUGCCAUAUGAAGCCUUUCCGCCAAAAGCCGUCCGACCACGGUGAAACAAAAAUAAUAAUAAAAUCUGCCCCAAUUCACGGACGGGUGACCAACGUGGCCAUGCAUGAAAGAAAUCGUCUAAAAAAUACUCAACUUUCCAUCUCUUCCGCUCCCUUUUCUUGAGAAAAAUGGUCAACCAUCGUGCAACUAAUCAGGAGACCAUCCCACCGAUCCCGCGUGCACAGCUGGCGGAAGCCCCUCGCGCGGUCACAAUCUCUCCUCAAUCAUGCACGGACAUCGCGUUCCUUAGGCAAAAGCAGAAAUUCCUCUCGAUCAUGCGCCGCCGCAACGAAACAUCUUCCUUUCCUGCCCGACGCCCUCGCUCUCGGUGCUUGGAGAGAUCGAGCCGAGCAUACCGGCUUCCCCUGAAGGCUUGAGACGGACACAGUUGACUGCUUCUUCGUCAUUGAUUGUCGCCAGCAACUGCGCCCUUGGCAUCGGUGUGGCCUUGCAAGAUUGGAUCUUUUUGUUUUCAUCCCAAUCAUCGCCAUGGCGGCCUCCUCCCCCUGAACGAUGAACGCAGCUGCUUCGUCAUUGAUGAUCAGCUUCUGACCCUUCACCAAUCUCUAUCCCCUAUUAUUUGUUCCAUCAUCUGUUCCACUUUCCACGAUUGAUUCAGUACUGGUGUUGCAAACUUAUUUCGAUUCUCAAAAAGCGAACAACCUGAUCGGUUUGGUAAGCAUCUUUCUAUUCCAGGCUAUCGAAGCUCUCAUUAAGCUUUUUGAUUCAGUUUGUGCCAAAGGUACGUUCUUGGCAAAUGCGAGCUGGCACCAUGAAGCAAAUUAUAGCUAUUGGAGUCCAGUAGAUAAUAUCUUGUGUGAUCUCCUUGUUCUUAAAUAGUGUAAUUUAAGAAAAAACUUAUUCAUGUUUGUUCUCUUCGACCUUUUUAGAUACAAGACACAGAUUAUUAUAUUGAUAUCAUAAUUGGUUGUGGCAUUGAGGUGUGUAAAUUUAUGCUUUUCUCUUUUCUGUCGGUGUUUAAACUCUCUUCUGAAUUCAUGCCAUCCAUUGACUCCAGGUGAGAAACACCUCCUGUUGUUUAAUUGUUUUUUUGCUCUUGCUUUCAGUAUGAAUAGUCAAAUAUAGUCAAAACAAUAACCUGGUUCAGUAGUAAUAAGGAAUCAAGCUAUUGCAACACUUCUUGUCAAAAAAAUGCAGCACUUCUAGAGUUGCUACGGGUUUUAAAAUUCUCACUUGCUGCACAUUAGGAGACGAAAUUCUUGGUUUCAGUUAGCAGAGUGACACUUAUCACUGUUAUCUAUAAGGCAAAUCUAACAACAUAGCACAGAUUGUGGACAUCAGUUUUUUUUUAGAAAGUGGACAUUGUGGGCGGCUGAGCGGGCACCUACGGGUGGGCGCGGCCGGCGUCAUGGCCAGCUCUGGGCGGGCGCGGGGUGGGGGAGGGGGGUGAUCAAGGCUGAAUCACAGGAAGGUUUCCUUUUAGGUGCUGUUAGCUUGGUUGGCUAAUCCCACACGCUUGAGGAGUUGCCUCUAGGAGGGGGCUGAAAUCACUUGGAGUUUCUUUUGAAUAUCGCAACGGGUGGAAAUAUUGAUCACGAAAAAAGUGGAAACAAAUAGCACCUUGGCUCUUUCCUUUUGAAUAUAGCAAAGGAUGCUGUAGGUGGGCGACGACGUUGUAGGCUCACAAAAUCACUGUCGUUUGCAAUAACAAAUACCUAUGAUUUAACUAUUUCUAUAUAUUGCUGAUCAUGAAUCUUCCUACAGGUACUUAAGUGGAUUUCUCAUCCUACAAUAUAUGUCUACAUGGAAUAGACCAAAAGCCACACAUAUUUAUACAGUGAGUCUAACACUUUGUCUAAGUUUUUGUAAAAGUUUUUUAACAAAAUAUAGUAUUACCCAUGCGACACACACUAAUAUUUACAUAUAUAUACUCGAAUGUGUGACAGGAUGGUACGAAGAUGCGGCAGAAUUUAUUUGUGGAUUUACUGGCACAUGAAAGAAAUGGAUAUCCGAGAUAUCUUCCCGUCGAUAUUAAACAUUAUCUUAGCCGUAUCACGGAAAGGUCUAUAAAGUAGAGUUUGUGAGCCUACAACGUCGUGCUCUUCGUGACUGUGUUUGAUUUCACAAACAUUGCGAUCCUACAAUGUCAUUUUCAAGUUGUUAUUUAAGUAGAAGAUUCUAAUAUUAUUAUCUUGUUAUGCGAUCUAUGUAUUUUAAAUAAAAAAUGUUAGCUAUCCCGUAGCAACGCACGGGCAUGCUAUCUAGUAGAGUAGAAUUGUAAAAGAGAACAAUGGUAAUUCUAGUGUACUAUUCUUGAGAUGUCUAGAAAUAACAAAAUAGAAGGGCUUUGCACGGAAAGAGGAAUGUACUGUGAAAAACAUGGCAUAACUUAUGCCGAGGCUGUUCGUUCCGUUAAAAAAAUAAGUUGAAAAGAAAGUAAUGUUCACUAAUUUAUUGUGUGAGAAAAAUAUUGUAUCAUAGCUGAUAAGUCUGUAGUGUCAUUGUUAUAUUCGUUUGUAACAUAAAUUUGCAAAACUCUACAUUUAACAUUUUCUCUUUUUUUUAGAAAAAAAUGGACAGACACGAGAGCUACCUUUUAUAUAGUACAGUCAGGCUUCUCCUUACGUGAUUGAGCAAAGCUCGGUUGAGCAAACAAGGAUGACACAUCUGAACAAGUUUAGAGACCGGAAUGAUAUAGACAAACAAGUUUAAUGAUCUAAAUGAUCAAUUUAUGAGUUUAGGGACCGAGAUGAUACGACAGGUGAUGGAUUUUACUAAAAAAACUCACAACAACUCAUAAAGUUGUUGAUGAAGCUGUGCCAAAUAAGGCCUCACUUGCUGAUGGUGUUUUCACCCUUUUCUUCUUAUCUCACCUUUUACAGAUCUUUUACAAGAAACAUCUUGUAAACAAAUGGCUUAACUCUUUUUGUUGAGUGACCCCUUCUCGCUCUAGCAGGAUCUUUUGCCGUUCUUCAAAUGGUAACAUGAUGUACCACUCAACAUGCAUGGGAGGUAAAAAAAUGGUACCUAGGUACUAAUACUUUUGAUAGCUACAGUACCAAACUCAAGUUGUAUAUAGUUUUGAUACCUUACCAACGAUAAAAAAACUCCUUACAAAUGACUUCUAUGGCUUCUUAUAGACACUAGUUGCUAUGAUAUAAGGACACAACUAUGACAAUUAAGGAGUGGUGGGGUCUUUAUCAAAGGUUUGUUUGGACUUUGGAUACAAGGCGUAACUGCUAGUUAGCUAAGAACUAGCUCGUGUAUCUAAACAUGGGAGUUAAUAGGUGAGUUACUUUUAUAGUCAUUUUUUUGACUAGUCGUUAGUCAACAACCAGUAAUGUGGGGGUAUAAACCCCUAUACCCUUACGGCUAGACUUCGGCCAGGAGGCUUGGCCCAUUACGAGACGAGUCCAAGGCUUGAUCCGACAACCUGGAGUUUCGCGCAAGGAAACAAGAUGUGGAGAUCAAGCAGGAUUCUAGUCGGUUAGAAUAGAAAUUGAUAUCGAAUUAUCCAUGACAAUUGUAACCGACUAGGGUUAGUUUCCGGAUCUGUAACCCUGCCCUCCAGACUAUAUAAGGAGAGGCAAGGGACCCCCCUAGGACAUCAUAUUCUCUCAACACAAAUCAAUACAACCAGACGCAGGACGUAGGUAUUACGCCAACUCGGCGGCCGAACCUGGAUAAAAAGCUUGUCCGUGUCUUGCGUCACCAUCGAGUUCGUAGUUUGCGCACCGUCUACCGAUAAACUACUACCGUGGGUAUACCCCAAGGUAGACUGCCGACUAGCUUUCGUCGACAGUGGCGCGCCAGGUAGGGGGUGUGCGUGCAACUUUUCCGGCGAACAAGAUGGUCACGAUCCCAGCUUCCGCGACCGUGCCCGAAGGCCUCACGUUCACCGUCGGCCAGAUCACGUGGACGGCGUGCAGCGGCGGCUUCACGACCACGGUUUCGGAAGAGAUCCAGAUCCAAUCUGAGUUCACGCCGUCUCCGACCACACGCAUGACGGCACCAAGCGCCCGACCACCGUUCCCACUCUACAAGGGAAAGGAGAUCGACUGCUCGGACCUUCUCCAAGCGCUUGAUCGCGCUGACUCCAAGCUACUCGAAGUUUCCCAACUAAUAGAUGGAGUUCUGCGUCGGCCCGACCAAGCUGCUCCAGCGGAUUUUUUCAAAUCCCGCCGGCCAACUCGUGUCGCCACACACGAACGGCUGGGAACGUCUCUGACGAUAACCUCAACCCCCUCAGGACGAUCCGUCCAGCUCAAGAAGGAAGACUAUCCUUGCGGCCUGAACAACUCGACCUCUGUUUACUCACGGCACACCCAAUCCGUUUUCAGCAAGGCGGGUUGGUCGCCGACAACGAACAAUCGUCACCACGUCAACAUGGUGACAAUCCGAGAACUACGGGACGGCCAGGCUUCCAGCACCAACUCAAGCACCGGCUCCGUCCCCACCGAGGUUAUAAACACCGAAGACGAGGACUAUGACCUGGAUUUCCCUUCAUACCCUCCGGGUUUCGACCGAUUCCCGAUAUUCCCCCCCCGGCGAGGGGAUAUUGUGUUCAAUGUCAGCGCCGACGAACCGGUCGUUGAUGGAGAAACAGAUGACCAGAGGCAACUCCGCGAACGGCGUAACGCCGAUCGCGCCCGACGACGCGCGGACGAGCAACAACAAAUGCCACCAAAUAAUCUCAACGAUGCCUUUGACAUGGUCGGGGACCAGCCAGUCUACAAAACGCCAAGCGCCAACGUGGCUGUCGCCAUGGCUAACCUGGAUCGGCUUCCCGACACCCCCGAAUGCCAGGGAGUCCGGACCAGCAUCCGAGCACACCUGAUCGCCGCAAUGGGACAGACGGCCACUCUGCUCAAGAGAGUCUAGGACGUCUCUUAUACGGAAGCCGUCUCCGACCAGACUAAUCAUAGCCGGGCCUCACCCAGCAGGCGUCACCGCAGCCGCUCCCCCGACAACCGUCGAGGGGACUCACGGCGCGACGAUGGUGGUCGGGACGCCGAUGGCCGCCGCAAGCAGAACCGCGUACGCGGCCAAGAGGAAGAUCAACACAGGGAUCUCCGCCACAACAUCCCUUCCAAAGAUGCCCGGGACCACAUCAACAGGCGCGCUGCAGAGAGAGCAGUCCACGAAAACCUGCGCCGCAUCGAGUACGAUGCAACACACGGUCCCCCGGGCCUAAGACAGUUCUCCUCGCACCUCCGCCAGGUCGUGUGGCCCCGCAAUUUCAAGCUCGAAAAACUCAAAAAGUACGACGGCAAGGAAAAUCCAGAGAACUGGAUCACCCUCUAUGACAUCGCCGUCCGAUCAGCGGCAGGGGACGAGCACGUCAUGGCUAACUACUUCCCCGUAGUCCUCGACCAGGCUGGUCAUCAGUGGCUUCUCGGCUUGCCCGAGGACUCCUUCGACUCUUGGGAAGAGCUACGCCAGGCUUUCAUCGACAACUUCAUCGCCACAUGCGAGCAGCCUGGAAACAAGUAUGACCUUGAAAGGAUAAGGGACAGGAAGAACGAACCUCUGCGCGAUUACAUCCGACGAUUCUCGGAUAUGCGCCUCAAAAUCCCGAAGAUUUCUCAUGACGAGGCCAUCUCAGCCUUCAUCAAGGGCCUGCGUUUCCACGAAGCGCUGAGGAACAAGCUGUUGCGUAAGCGUCCAACAACGGUAGCAGAGCUCCUCGCCACGGCCAAAAAUUACGCCGAUGCCGAUGACGCAGAAAAACUAAUCCGAGACGAUGCGAGGGGUCCCGACCAGCCUCCCCGACGAGAUGAUGGUCGUGGUCGCAACGACAGCAGAAAUCACCGCCGCUCCGACAACCGCGAUCAUCGAGAGGGUUGGGAUCGGCGGCGCGACAGCCGCGAUGACUUCAGAGGAAAGCGCCCUCGCGACUACGACCACGAAGUAAAUACGGUCAAACGACCCAAUGGACGACGGGACUACCAAGAAGACUACAACAAAACGUUGAGGGGACCAUGCCAACUACACCCAAAGUCCAAUCAUACCAUGGAAGAGUGCCGCGUCCUCAAAAGUAUCUAUACACGGCGGGCCGCCCAAGACGACUCCGCCAAGAAAAACAACAAGCGCGACGCGCACGACCACGAAGAUGAGGAUGAGGACCAAGAUAGGGACCCCCGACACCAAUACGUCAGCCCCACUGACGUGGUCCACUCCAUUUUCGGGGGCAAGGUCUCCACUGAGUCCAAGCGAGAAAGAAAGCUGUUAAAGAGAGCCUGCCUCAACAUAGACAGCACGGACGGGCUGAUCGCAGACCCGAAAUUUCCCACGUGGUCCCACAGGGAGAUCUCGUUCAGCAGGAAGGACCAGUGGGCCGCUAUCCCAGAGCCGGGUCGUUUCCCCCUGAUUCUUGACCCCUGCAUCAACAGCAUCAGAUUCGAGCGCGUGCUCGUGGACGGGGGAAGCUCCAUCGACAUCCUCUUCCGCAACAGCCUGCCCGCCCUCAAGAUAUCCCCGGCACAACUAAAACCUUACGACGCCCAAUUCUGGGGGGUUUUGCCAGGUCAAAGUUCCGUGCCUCUCGGACAGAUAACAUUGCCUGUCCAAUUCGGCACACCCGACCACUUCCGGACAGAGUUCAUCAACUUCGUAGUCGCGGAUUUCGACGGGACCUAUCACGCCAUACUGGGCCGCCCAUCGCUGACAAAGUUCAUGGCAGUCCCGCACUACUCAUACCUAGUCCUUAAGAUGCCCACGGAGAAGGGUGUCCUAACCAUCAGAGGCAACGUCUACACUGCGUACACCUGCGAAGAAGAAAGCUUCAAGAUCACCGAGGCAAUUGACCUCUCAAUCCGCAUGGCGGAAACAGCAAACCAAGCCGCACAGCUGCCUCCCGACCAGCUCCGAUUACCCGAACAGGCGACAGCCAGGAAGAACUCAAAAUCCAAGGAGUACAAAGAAGUGCAGCUGGUCGAAGGCAACCCCGAGAAGACAGCCCUCAUCGGGGCCAACCUGGAUCCAAAAUAGGAAGACGCGCUCGUCAGGUUUCUAAGGGACAACGUGAGCGUUUUCGCAUGGAAACCCGCAGACAUGCCCGGUGUCCCACGAAACCUGAUCGAGCACUCCUUAAAUGUCUCGAAGACCGCAAGACCAAUCAAGCAAAAACUGCGACGGUUCGCUCGUGACAAAAAGGAGGCUAUUAGGACAGAAAUAACACGGCUUCUAGCAGCCGGAUUCAUAAAAGAAGUGUAUCACCCCGAUUGGCUCGCCAAUCCGGUUCUUGUACGCAAAAAGAAUAAUGAAUGGAGAAUGUGCGUUGAUUACACUGAUCUCAACAAACACUGUCCUAAAGAUCCUUUUGGUCUCCCUCGCAUCGACGAGGUGGUCGACUCAACGGCCGGAUGCGAACUCCUCUCCUUUCUAGACUGCUACUCUGGUUAUCACCAGAUCUCGCUAAAGGAAGAAGAUCAGAUCAAAACAUCCUUUAUCACACCCUUCGGCGCAUACUGCUACACGACCAUGUCUUUCGGACUCAAAAACGCCGGAGCCACUUAUCAAAGGGCCAUCCAGCAAUGCCUCCACGACGAGAUUCGUGAUGACCUCGUCGAGGCCUAUGUGGACGACGUGGUCGUAAAAACAAGGGACGCGAGCACCCUAAUCGACAACUUAGACCGAACCUUCAAGGCACUUAAUAGGUACAAGUGGAAGCUCAACCCCAAGAAAUGCAUUUUCGGCGUUCCUUCCGGUCUACUGCUCGGCAACGUUGUCAGUUGCGACGGCAUACGACCAAACCCUUCAAAAGUAAAGGCGGUACUCGACAUGCGACCACCGAAGAACGUAAAGGAUAUCCAAAAGCUAACAGGAUGUAUGGCCGCCCUCAGUCGCUUCAUCUCAAGGCUAGGAGAAAAAGGCCUCCCUUUCUUUAAACUGUUAAAAGCGUCGGAAAAAUUUUUUUGGACAGAAGAAGCCGACACCGCAUUCAACCAGCUUAAGACCUUCCUCACUUCACCACCUGUCCUUACAGCCUGGAGUUUCGCACAAGGAAACAAGAUGUGGAGAUCAAGCAGGAUUCUAGUCGGUUAGAAUAGAAAUUGAUAUCGAAUUAUCCAUGACAAUUGUAACCGACUAGGGUUAGUUUCCGGAUCUGUAACCCUGCCCUCCAGACUAUAUAAGGAGAGGCAAGGGACCCCCCUAGGACAUCAUAUUCUCUCAACACAAAUCAAUACAACCAGACGCAGGACGUAGGUAUUACGCCAACUCGGCGGCCGAACCUGGAUAAAAAGCUUGUCCGUGUCUUGCGUCACCAUCGAGUUCGUAGUUUGCGCACCGUCUACCGAUAAACUACUACCGUGGGUAUACCCCAAGGUAGACUGCCGACUAGCUUUCGUCGACAAGUAACUAGCCAUGUGUAUCUAAAUAGAGUAGAAUUGUAAAAGAGGACGAUGGUAAUCCUAGUGUACUAUUCUUGAGAUGUCUUGAAAUAAUAAAAUAUAGAAGGGCUUUGCACGAAAAGAGGAUGUGAAAAACAUGGCUUAUGCCGAGGCUGUUUGUUCGGUUAAAAAAAUAAGUUGAAAAUAAAGUAAUGUUCACUAAUCUAUUGUGUGAGAAAAAUAUUGUAUCAUAGCUGAUAAGUCUGUGUGUCAUUGUUAUAUUCGUAACAUAAAUUUGCAAAACUCUACAUUUCUCCCUUUUUUUUAAAAAAAAUGACAGACACGAGCUACCUUUUAUAUAGUACAGUCAGGCUUCUCCUUACGUGAUUGAGCAAAGCUCCUGCCAUUUCUUAAAAAAAUGCAAGCUCGGUUGAUAAGGGUUUUGCCGUUUGAGGCUUCCGUUGAGCAUCACGUUUGUGUAAACUCAGAAAAUAAACUAAAAGCUGCUGUGAAGUGAUUUCGUGGCUUUUGAUUUGUUCUGGAAGCUAAAUAAAUAUUAAAUAAAUUUAAUAAUAAAAAUACAGCUACAAAAUCAGCUUUUAUGUCAGAAGUACAAAAGGUACCGCUCAAACAAACUAGCCCUUAGGGGGGCGUUUGGUUGCCUACACCAGUCCUCCUGAGCCAGGCUCUCCGCGUGCGAGAACAGACAUUUGUUUGGUUGGCAUAUGUGCCGAGCGAGGCUACACGCGUGCAAAAAGCCUCUCGCAGCCAGGCUCUGCUGAAACGCAGAAAUCGGCCGUUUUUGUUGGGCCUGGCUCACCUCAUGCGAGCAAGCACUGAACGAUGCAUGACGUGUGAGAUAGAGAUACGUGAACACGGUGAACCAAACAGAUGCUGCUGUUGGCCUAGCUGUAGUGAUCCAAGUAACCAAACAAGAUGCUAUCGCAUACAUAGAGCCUGGUCAAAGUUGGCCUGACUAGCUCUGUGCGAGCUAGGCUCUACCGAGCAACGAACCAAACAGUCUCUAGAUGUCUUCUUCUCACUGUGUGAAAAAAUGGCAUUACAGACGCGCCUUUACUGAUAUCACAGAUGCUCCUGAGUGCGUCAGUGAUAUAAAGUCUGAUAAAUAUUUAAUAAGACCUUAAUACUGACGCACUUCUAACAUCCGUAUGUAAGUAACACAUAGACACGUCAGUAGUAAAGCUUUUUCAGCGACGCCUAUCUAGAACACACGUCAUUAAGGUCCAGCUCGUCAGUACAAAAUUCUAACUGCAGACGCUUCUUCAGGAAUAGGGGUCUGUAGUAAGGAUUAAGCCACAGACGCAUUAUCCAGAGACGCGUCUACAGUAUGAAUUAAAUUGUAACAGUACCAUCGGCAUAUCUCUGUACUAAAUACCUCAAUGAAACGACAUAAAUACACAUCAACAUCUCAUUAAUUAGUACACAGCUUUAACACAAUCAAAUACAGAUCAAAGUUUAAUCACUAAAUUAAAUGUGUAGCUCUAAUAAAGUCACGUUACCUUAUGGCUGGCUAUCGAAUAACUUAUUUUGUAGCUUGAUCAAAACUGGCUCGUGGUCACCAGCGCACCAUGUGUGUCCAUUCAUCCAUGGCAGCUUAGGCGCGUGGCUUUGGCUUUGUGUCUCCCACCUCUCUAGUGAACGCGAUAGCUCUUGAAGUUUUUAUAUUUUCCAAAAUAAUUUCAAUUUUAAACGCGUACUAAAACAAAUUCAGGGUUACUGAUACAAAAUAUGAGAUCGGGUCGUAGAAAAAAGUGCCGAGAGAAAAACUUUUAGAAUAAAAAUAUAGAAAACUUUUGAAGAUGAUUUCUUUUUUUACUCCUCAUGUUAAUCUAGGAGUUCAUAAACAUGAUAUUUUGGGGAAUAUAAUAUAAAAGAUCUCUUGGAGAUGCUAUCUUUUCUUCCACCUCUCUAGUGAACGGUAUAGCUCUUGAAGCACAAAUCCAAUUCUACGGACGUUCAUUCAUUCUACCUCUUGAAGCUUUCAUAUUUUCCAAAAUAAUUUCAGUUUUCAAGACAUAUUCACUGGAACAGCCUCCCAAUAUCUAUUCAAAAUGUAUUCACACGAAAAAGUAAAUAUAUAUUCCAAAUGAGCAAAAUUCCUUAUUUGGUCAAACUUGCGUAGGAUUCCAAAAGGGUUUUUUUGAACGGUGCCAUUACAAUUUCAAAGUAUUUGAAAUAUGCCAUUAUAAUUCAGGUAUCCUGAAGCGGACCAUUACAAUUCUUGCAAAAUUUGAAAUAUGCCAUUGGAUACGGUAGAAGGACGCUUGGGCCUGCUUGCAAGCCGACGUGGCAUACGGUCGACCGUAUGCGCCCGUCGCCGUGAGCCAUCUAAACGGCGCGGCAAAAAACGCCGUCUCCACCCCGCCCCUGACUCAUUCUCGCUCUCCAUCUCUCUGUCUCUCUCGAGCGUAACCCUAGGCGCGGCGGCGGCGGCGUGGCGGCGGCGGCGCAGGGGGAGGCAAUGGAAUAGGGGCGCAUGUCCAUGGCAGACGUGCCCCCGUGCACGGCGCAGCGCAGGGCGCCGCGGAUGGGGGAUAGCAACGAAAGGUAAUGUUUUGUCCUUCCAGAGCACGAAUACGAGUGCAUUAGGUCUUGAUCUGUUGAUUGGCAUUAGAUAUUGAUGUGAUUUGGUUGAUGCUAGGGUUCCGCUAUUUUCUUUAGAAAUUAAAGUGGAAGCAUUCUGUUGGAGAGACUCUUUGGGUAGGAAAGCUUACACAAAGGGCUCUGUAAUUAAGUGGGAUGUGGAGAUUGGCUCGUUUUCAUUUGAUGUACUGAUGGCCAGCUUGCGCAAUGCUGUCAAUUGCUCUACUACUCAGUGUCCAGUUGCUUGGUUCUAUGAUAAAAGGUUGUCUCAAGAUGUCAUGCUAGAAAAUCAAUUCCAGAUUAAUGAUAUGUUUGAGAUGUAUAAGGAGGAGAUGCAUUGCCACAUUGUCGUAGGGGUAUUUGAUCAGUCUGUUCCCACUAUUGAUCAAUUUGAUGAACUAGAUCUUCCUCCUGACACUAGCACUGGCAACCCAGCCAGUACUGACAGUUAUGUUAACCAGCCCACAUUUGAGGCAGAUGUUGCACCAGAGGCUGAAGUUGAGACUCAACUUGAGCCUGAUAGGGAACCUGAUAUGUUUGAUAACGAUGAGGAGUAUGUGGGUUGUGAUGAUGAGGGCAUGUACAUGCCAACACCACCAACACAGCCUCCUAGUAAUUCACCUCCACAUGCUUCUCAUGAUGCUGAAAAUGCUGAUGCUGAUGCUGAUGCUUUUCCUGUUGAGGCAGAGGUCACUGAUGCAGACCCUGAAGAGAUCAAUAUCAUUCAUGACCCAGAACAUCCCAAGAUUGUAAAGGGGGAGUUAUUUCCUGAUAUUGUUUCAUUCAGGAAAGCUAUCAGGCAUUUCUCUGUUACUAAAGGCUAUGUGUUAGCUGGUAUCAAAACAGACCCAUCAAGAUUUAUUGCAAAGUGCAAAUCCGAGGGAUGUCCUUGGCGCAUACAUGCAUCUAGGCUGCAGGGUAGAAAGACAAUACAGGUAACUGUCUAUUCACUAGUUCCUUUGUGCAAGUUUUAUUUUUUCUUUACCUGACAUGUUUCGUAUGCACAGAUCAAAGUACUGCCUGCAGAAGAUGGCAUCACAGUCUUGGUGUGCAGAUAGGCUGGCAGAUUGGAUAAAAAAACAUCCAACAAAACGUGCAAAAGAGUGCAGGGAGAAGUUGGAAGAUGAUUAUGGCAUCAAGCUGAAGUAUUCAAAGGCUUGGUCAGGUAUGCAGUGCGCAUUGGAUCAAAUCCAUGGUAAAUAUGAGGAAAGUUUUCAACUGCUAUUCAAUUGGGGUGCUCAAAUUGAAAAGGUAUCUCUUGGUAGCACUGUAGUGGUAGAGGUUGACAAAAUUGGUAAGAAGAACAGAUUCAAAAGAAUGUUUGUUGCUCUAAAGCCUUAUGUAGAUGGAUUCUUGGCUGGUUGUAGGCCUUUUUUGGGUAUAGAUGCAUCUUGUUUGAAUGGAAAGUAUAGAGGUCAGCUAGCUUCAGCAACCAGUGUAGAUGGACAUAAUUGGUUGUAUCAUGUAGCUUAUGGCAUUUUUGACAUAGAAAAUGAAGACAACUGGACAUGGUUCUUGCAACUUCUUAGUAGAGCAAUUGGGCCUGUCCCAAAUCUUGUAGUUUGUACAGAUGCAUGCAAAGGCGUGGAGAAUGCAGUGGGUAAAACUUUUCCAACAGCUGAGAAUAGGGAAUGCAUGAGACAUAUGUACCAAAACUUUUAUGAAGCACUAUUCUAGUGAUGUAUUCACAGACCACCUUAUCCUACAGCUAGAAGUUACACUCAAGAAAAAUUCCAGUGGCACAUGAAUCAGAUACAUGAGUAUGCUCCUCAAGCUAUAGAAUAUAUUGAGAAUUACCACAGCAGGAUAUGGUACAGGUGUGGGUUCUCAGAAAGUAGCAAGUGUGAUUAUUUGACCAACAAUGUGUCAGAAAGCUUCAAUGCACAGGUGAAGCACCUCAAAGGUUUAUUAUUACAUGAACUGGUAGAUGUUGAUAUUUGGUAACGCAAUAAGGAAAUAAUCCGCAAGCGCACGGAUAUCGGUGAGCAUUUCACCCGGGAGGUUUUCCAGAGUAUCGUAUUUAUAUUUUUACCACUGGGAGAAAGGGUGCAUCUGACUAACCAAAUCUAUUGCUACUAUCCCUUUAGGCUACAAAGAAUGUUUCUCAAUGUGAGUGAUAUAUAGAGAAGACUGCAACCGUAGUCUCGUUCUAACCUUGGUAAGGAUGAUCUACUGUUCUAUUGGGGAAGCUUACGGAAUCUAGACACCACAAAGGAUGUUUGACCCGCACCUAUAAACCUACCCGUCCUGCUAACAAGAUAUGGGAUACAAAGGUAACUCGGAAAUGUCACGUUCCUCGCUACUACCACGGUCCAGCUAGUCAGGGGAUAUCUAUGAGUACCCUAGUGAAAGGUCCUAAUAUGGCUAGAGGGGGGUGAAUAGCCUAUUUAAAAAUUCUACAAACUCACUAGAGCGAGAGGUUAGUAAAUAACAAAGCGAAGCCUUUUGCUCUAGCUCUAAUGGGGUGUUUGCAAGCCACCUGUCCAACAAUUCUAGUUGAUAUAAUCACUAGACACACAAGAGCUAUGUCACUACUUACACUAGAAAGCUACCUAAAGUUUCUAUACAAGUAAGUAAGCUACUCUAGUUUGCGGGAAUGUAAAAGAGAUGGUUUUAACUUUAUACCGCCGCAUAGAGGGGAUGAACCAAUCACUAAUAUGAAGUCCAAUCACCGGGAGAAAUCCAAUGAACAAUCACAAUGGAUACACACAAUUUUACUCCCGAGGUUCACGUGCUUGCCGGCACGCUACGUCCCCGUUGUGUCGACCAACACUUGGUGGUUCGGUGGCUAAGAGGUGUAGCACGAACCUCGUCCUCACUAGGACACCACAAGAACCUACCCACAAGUGAGGUAGCUCAAUGACACGAGCAAUCCACUAGAGUUACCUUUCGGCUCUCCGCCGGGGAAGGUACAAGACCCCUCACAAUCACCGGGAGAUGGCCACGAACAAUCACCAACUCGUGCUAAUCCUCCUCCGUUGCUCCAAGCCGUCUAGGUGGCGGCAACCACCAAGAGUAACAAGAAAACCGCAGCUAGAACGAUCCCCAAGUGCCACUAGAUGCAAUCACUCAAGCAAAUUCACUUGGAAUCACUCCCAAUCUCACAAAGAUGUUUAAUCUAUGAAGGAGAUGAGUGGGAGGUGUUUGCUUAGGCUCACAAGGAUGUUAUGUAUGUUAGAAUGCCAAGAGAGUGAGCCCCAAGCCGGCCAAACACGUAUUUAUAAGCCCCUCAAGCAAAUAGAGCCGUUGGCACUUUCACUGGGCAAACUGCGGGGUCACCGGACGCUCUCAAAGGGGCACCGGACGCUCAACACCAGCGUCCGGUGCUCCAACGUCAGCCAUGUGUCGCCUUUUGAAAAACUCGUGUCAGAGUCUAACGGUCACCUGCAGUGCACCGGACGCUAAGCAAGUUAGCACCGGACGCGUCCGGUGCACACCGGACUCAUGCGCAGAGAGCUCCGCAAACUCGCACGGUCACCGGACGCAAGCCACCGGACGCACCCUGAGCAUCCGGUGCUCACCGAACUCAUGCGCAGAGAGGGUUGCAAAACGCCCUCACACCGGACGCUAACCACCGGAAGCGUCCGGUGCUCACCGGACCCAUGCGCAGAGAGGGUCGCAAAACGCCCACACACCGGACGCGCACCACCGGACGCUCAAGCCAGCGUCCGGUGCCUAUCGUCCGGUGCCUUACCCUAGCUGGGCCAGGCACUGUCUGCACCGGACGCUCAGACGCAGCGUCCGGUGCUCCAGAAGCCAGCGUCCGGUGAGUGUUUUCUCAGCGAGAAACACUCCCACGACUACUCCAAAUUUCCUACCGACGCAAUAGAAAAUAUGCAUUUUAUUUUCUCGAAAAGCGCCGAAUCCCACCUCGCAAGCUCGGCGGGAGGGAGAGAGGAACCCAUCCUCUCUCUACGUACUCUUCAAACUCCACCUCCUUCUCAAAGUGUGCCAACACCACAAGUGUAAACCAACAAGUGUGCACGUGUGUUAGCAUUUUCACAAUCAUUUUCUUAGAAGGAGUUAAGUUAGCUCACUAGGUUCUAAAUGCAUACACAUGAACAAUGACACCUAGUGGCACUUGAUAACCGCUUAGCCAAAGAAUUCCCCUCUUUAUAGUACGGCUAUCUAUCCUAAAUGUGAUCACACCCUCUAUGGUGUCUUGAUCACCAAAACCAAAACCCUAAGCAAUACCUUUGCCUUGAUCUCCAUAGGGUUUUGUUUUUCUCUUUCUUCUUUUCCAAGUUGAGCACUUAAUCAUCUUGUGGUCAUCACCAUGAUCAUCAUGAUCAUCACUUGCUCCAUCACUUGGCAUGUACCAACCUCAUUAAGUCUACACACACUUAGUAUAGAGGUUAGUACUAGGGUUUCAUCAAUUAUCCAAAACCAAACUAGGGCUUUCACCUAGCCUAAACACCACGUUUACGCUAGCAAUAAUUACUCUAAUACUCAACCGGAAGAGGAUUAAAUUAAACUCAUAAACCAAAGAACAAUAAAACAAGAACUUACUAGAAUUAGAAGUCGAAUUACUGAAGAAUCUUAGAAGCAAGCCUCGGGUUAGAAGACUUGAUCCCGCAGGUACAACUCGGAGUAGACACCGACAGGUCGGCCUUCCUCCGAUCUACACCUCCACUCUAUCUCUCUCAAUCUAGUAGAAACUAGAAGAUCUAUUUCUACUUACAUUGGUUGCUAAGCCUAAAAAAAUAUUAUUUAGAGAAGAGGUUUUCCUUCGAGGGCACCCCUCAAUCUCUAUGAUAACUUCUUGUCUUCUCCAGGGGCCAGGGGGGUCUCCUUAUAUAGUCCUCCUCCUCUAUGCGUUUUUGGGUCGGUAGGCGAUGUGGUACUACAUUAUCCUUGAUCCAUUAGGUCGGUGGAACAUCGUGUGCGAAGAGAGUCCCGAACGGAGUCUAGGACACGGCGGGCGCCCAGGGAAAGAGGGCGGGCGCCCUGGGCCUGGCCCCUUUCGGCCUCUGCUUUCUUCCCGUGGCUUCUGGAGUCUUCUAGAUGGUAGAAAAUUACGCGGUGCGUUGAUAUCUCUAUGUAAUCCCGACAUGUGGGCCUUUCUUCCGUAUUUUUUGAUAACCCCCUGCAGAAAUAGACAAACACCAAAACUCAUGGAAUUCUGUCAGAUAAAACCCUAAGUCUAGAUGUUGAUUUCAUUUGGAUCCUUUUCUUUGUUUAUUUGAUAAUUAAAUUUGAUACUUAAGGACCGUCAACAGUAGACAGAAUUAGAGAGCUUAUAAUGGAGAAGAGAUAUUUGAGGAAGAAAGUUGCUAGGCAGUGGGAAGAUGGAAUCCUCCCAAAUGUGAUGAAGGAUUGUUGGGUAUUCUUAACAUCAUUACCAAAAGUAGACUAAGUUCUCUAAAUCUAGUAACGGUGCCAAAAAUGCCAAACCUAUCCCUCACACCACUUAAGCCAAGUUGUCAUCCCCAGCAUGACAUGAGAGACGCGGUAUUGAAAUAUGCAAUUGCUCUUCUAAAUAAAUAAUGAAUGAGAUCUGCAAGCGCACAGAUUAAUACCGAUGUAGCAUUUUAACCGGGAAGUAUUCUAGGUAUCGUUAUUUAUAUUUUUACCACUGGGAAGGGAUUAGCAAUCAUCACUAUUGAUUACAGAAUAGAAUAUGAGAUUGAGCAUCUAUCAUUGCAUGUAUAAUUGAGAACAUUUAUCUAACUCUUCAUACAGGGAUAAGUGUCACAUAAAAGAUAUAUGAAAUAAUAAUAGUGACAAGGAUAACUAAUCUGAUCUAGCCACAUAAUAAAUAUGAUAAGCACCUCAAUUAGAUACUCUAGAAAGUCAUUAGCAUGGUAUUAGAACGAACUAUAAGAAUAUUCCCUAAGUUAUUCUCAACUAUAUAGUUUAGCAUUAUCAUAGUUAGUGCAAGCAUACUUAGCAAUCAUUGUGAGACAAGACUACGCCCAUGCAUAGUGAUAUUAGCAAGGAAUAUGAGAAACAUAGCAAUCACUCCCCUAUAAUAAUGUUGCUCUGCCAGCCCAAUACACGAGAGGGGGACUAUAUAAGAAUCAAUGAAGCUGUCACUAUCACGAACCACCCCACGAUCUGGCAUAUUGGGUACAAUCGCAGAUAAAUAUGGUAUAAGCACCACGCCUACACAAUAUCUAUCAUUUACCCAUGGAUCCGAUGGAUAAACGCUAUACGAUCCUAAGCAUGUAUAUAGAUCGAAUCUAACUAAGCCAAGUACAUAACUAUGAUAAACUAAGAACAAUAUAAUCUUGAAUAUAAGCAAGUAGAGCAAAGUCAUAAGCAAUAUAUUGAAGUAGAACAAAGUCAUAUUUAUAAUAUUGAAGAACAAAGAUAAUUAGAAAGUAAUUAGAAGCACAAUUAGAGAAUUACCAAGAAUCCUCUUGACAGAUCCGGAAACCAAUCGAAGAUUGACUCCUUCUAGUUCUAAUCCUAUGUAGCUAUGCUAAUCUAGAUAUCUAAUUGAUGUGGUGGCUCUAAUCUUGAUCAGAGGCUUCUUCUCCCUUGAAGAACAAUGAAUUAGGGUUGAGAGGCUCCCCCCUCUAGGGGCCAGGGGGUCUGGUUUUAUAGUCCCUUCAAGUGAAUAUGGGCCGUUGGAUCAAACCGACAUAGAUUGUAUGGUUUAGAUUCAUCCUUUAGGUCGGUGGAAAUCUCCCACGAAGCAGAGUCCUGAUUGGACUCAGGAGGUGGGCGGGCGCCCUGAUCACCUGGGCGGGCGCCCAGGGUCACGCCCCGUUUCGCCUCCGCUUCGGUUUCGUGGCUUCUGGAGUCUUCUAGAUGUAAGAUAAUUGCGCGACACGUUAAUAUCUCUAUGUAAUCCCGACGUGUGGGCCUUUCUUCCGUAUUUCCUGAUAACCCCCUACAGAAAUAGACAAACACCAAAACUCGUGGAAUUCUGUCAGAUAAAACCCUAAGUCUAGAUCUUGAUUUCAUUUGGAUCCUUUUCUUUAUUUAUUUGAUAAUUAAAUUUGAUACUUAAGGACCAUCAACAAGGAUCUCAACCUGAUCAGUACUCAACUCAAUGUAGUCAAGGUCAAAGUCAGUGAUGAUAACACUGCUGAAGUUACAAUCCUGGAGUGGGAGAAGCAAAGGAGGCACACUGUGGACCUAGGAAACCACAAUUGUUCCUGCAGGCAGUGGCAAGUGACUGGAAAGCCAUGUAAGCAUGCUUUGGCUUGGAUACUGUCAAUCCCAGGGAUGAGAAUUGAGGAUUAUGUACAUGAGUACUAUUCAGUUGCUAGAUUUAAGGCAGCUUAUGCUGAUAGGAUUGAGCCUAUCCCAGACAAGGAUGAAUGGCCUGUUGUCAACCUUGGUUUUAAAGUGUAUCCUUCAUUGCUAGGCAGAGGUCCAGGAAGGCCAAGGGUUGUAAGAAUUAGAGGGACUUUUGAGCAGAGGGCCACGAAGAAGAAAGUUAGGUGCAAGAGAUGUGGUGACUUUGGACAUUUUUCCAAGACCUGCAAGUUGCCAGAACUAGGUGAAGAUGGAGAAAGAGGACAAGGGUCUUCAAAAAGGUAUUAAAACUAUUGUCUAACCAUUUUAUUAUUUUUUCCUAUGUACUAAGAUCUAACCGGCUAUUGUCAUCUCAACGCAGAAAGAGGCCGACUCAGCAAGUGUCAUCACAGGAAGCUCCAACGCAGGAAGUACCAACACAGGAUGAUGCUGGACCUUCCCAGGUGAAGAAGACCAAGCCUCUGAAGAAGGUUACAACUAAGAAGAAGAAGAAGACACCAAAGAAAACAAAGCUGCAGAGGGAAGCAGCUGCACCUGGGAAGGCUGUUAUCAGCAGCAUCAGGCACCUGAUCUAUGAUGCUCCACAGGAUGCUGAUCUAUGAUUCUCCACAGGAUGCUGAUCUAUGAUGCUCCACUUAUAUGGCUUUGUUCUGAACCUUACUAUGUAAUGAGGCAUUAGAAUGCCAACUUGGAACUUGUAUGGCUGAUGCUGCUACUAUGUAAUGAGGCAUUAGAACUUGCCAACUAUUUUCAGUCAUGUGAACUCUACUUAUGUUAGUUUGUACUCUCCUGUAUUGUGUCAAUUAUCAUGUGAACUCUACUUAAAAUGUUAAGAAAACAAGACAAAGUGCUGCAGAAAUUCUAAUAUAUUUUGAAGCUGAAAUUCUAAUCUAUUUUCAGUGACAAAAGGCAUAGGACAAUGCUGAUCAUACUCAUCGAAGAAACUCAGUGACAAAAUGCUUGUUCUUUCAUUGCAAAUACACAUAAUUACAGUCACUUCAUCAUCUGAGAAAAACCUACACCUAGCAGUACACCCACAAGGACACCUACAACAACAGAUACAUCCAACACAAUUUGCAUUUUCCCCUUCCUGCCCAAGUCCAGUGCUGGACUCUGAUUACUAACUUGACUAGGAACAGCAACAACAUCUCUGUCUCCAAGUUGCACCUUCAUUUUCUCAAGUUCAGUGACAACUCUAUCUAGAGUUUGCUUCAUCUCCUUGUCCCGUUGAUUCAAAUCAUCAUUAGGAUCCCCAACUGCUGAAUGAAGGGGCAACUGCAGCUGAAUCUCUUUCUCCUUUUGCUUCAUAAACCAUGCCUCGUACUGCUCCUCCGAACGAAUCCAGCCACAAGUUGUUGGAUCACCCUGUGCAAGCAACACCAGUCAAAUUGAAAACAAAGGAAGCACAUUCAAGGGCAUAAACAAUGCAAAUAGUUACCUUUACGUUGUUUGGGCACUUGAUGAAUGCGACAUCCUUUGAGUGCUCUUGCUUGCUCACGAUUCGGAUCAAAGGAACAUUGCACACUGGGCAGUUCAGUAGGGGGCACUGCACCCUUCUACUGCCAGCAGCGGAAGAGCUCGAGGCCAUCUUCAUCUGCAGCGCCGCCGUCGGGAUCGUGGCACCGGAAUCGCCGCCGCCGCGCCUAGGGUUACGCUCGAGAGAGACAGAGAGGUGGAGAGCGAGAAUGAGUCAGGGGCGGGGUGGAGACGGCGUUUUUUGCCGCGCCGUUUAGAUGGCUCACGGCGACGGGCGCAUACGGUCGACCGUAUGCCACGUCGGCUUGCAAGCAGGCCCAAGCGUCCUUCUACCGUAUCCAAUGGCAUAUUUCAAAUUUUGCAAGAAUUGUAAUGGUCCGCUUCAGGAUACCUGAAUUAUAAUGGCAUAUUUCAAAUACUUUGAAAUUGUAAUGGCACCGUUCAAAAAAACCCAUUCCAAAAUAGAAAGUCCUUUUCCUUCCCAAACAGAAAACCAUGUUUAUCUGCCAACAGUUUCUAACCCAUGGGUCCCACGGGUGCCAACGGUUUCCCUCUUGAUCCUCCCCAAUCGCCCGCUCACACCACCACGCCGCCACGCCGCUCAUCGUUAACUUCCUGCCCUCCACGGACUUAUCCGCUCGUCGCGCCCGCCUCAAGCUAAUGACGAAUCUAAUGAGUAGAAGAGUGAGGGCAUGUGUCCUUAAGGAAAAAAAACGUCUUCGACCAGAAAUCUCCACCUGCCGCGCUGUGGAGUUCUCGUGCUGGGGCUCCUCCCCGUGCGUCGCCACGGUGCCGUGGCUGACCACACGAGCGCGGCUUGGCAUGCGUCUAAAGAUACAGUGGCCGUUGUUGGAGAUGACCUUGAAGCUGUGCAUCUGCCAUUCUGCCUUCCAUUGGUGCCUAUGGGGUACACUGUCAAACAGCGCUGGUGCCCCCUCCAUCGGCGCGGGAGGAAGAAGAUGACCAGGUUGAGCGGUGUGGAACCGUCGUAAACGAAUCUGCGCGGUUUCUCCCAACACGGUUGACUGUGGGCUGAUUUACGGGUACACGGUUAGUAUACAGCAUCGUACAUACCACUCAUAUAUAUAGUCAUAUAUAACAUCUCAAGUCCAUACACGGCACACUGCUUAGAGAACCUUUAUUUAUUUUGUAUGAAAAAGGGACAUGAAAGAAAACCAUUCUCCGAAUAUAUCAAAACAUGUAUAAGGCUGCCCGUGAAGUAGAAUCGCAUCCCCAUCCACAGAUUUAGUUGUAGGCGUCGGGGUUGGCGACGAGGUAGGCCUCGGCACCCUUGAAAAUGGCGGUGAGUGCCUCCUUGGCCUUGGCUUCCUCGUCCUUCUCGUCCAUGCCCGGCAGCAACUUGUAGGUCGACUCCACCUUCACCACGCUGCCGCCGUCGGCCGUGGGCUCCACCUUGAUGUGUGACGCCGCGGUCUCGAUGGCAACACCGAUGCCGCCGCCCUCGACGAGCGUGUUCUUGCACUCGCACUUGUCCACGUCCAGGAAAUCGAGCCUCUCCUUCAUGAAGCUGAACGGCAUGACUGCAAGAACGAUCGCGCACGUCAUUCGCUAGCUAUUUGAUCGAUCGAUCGGGCGACAACAUGUUGGUCUGGGCGACUGGGCAUGCUGCGGACACUUACAUGAGGUGAAGUUGAACUGCCUGACGCUGCCAACGCCGCCGUCGCCCUCCACGGGGUGGGCGCUGGCGACGACGUGGGAGGCGACCUUGGGCGCCAGGGUGUGCCAGUCCAUCACGGCGGCGCGGAACAGGCGCGGCGCGGCCACCGGCGACGGAAUCUCCAGGGUCCAGCUGCUGGCGGAGGCCAUUACUUCAGUGAUCGGCCGAGAUAAACUAAACUAGGUGCGAGCCGAAGCUGCUUAGGUGCUUGUGCUGCUGCAGGUGGUUUUAGGAUUGCGCUUUUGCUUGCGUUGCCAUUAGAGUGGCGGACGGAGGACUUUAAAUAGGCGGUUAUGGCGGGGUUGGUGGCGUCCCGUGAGGAUGAGACGCUCGGGAGUCGUCGUCGGCGGCUCUUCCCACUUUGGCUUGGCACGGCACCGUCGCUCGUCGGUCCAUGUAGUUCAUUAUAAUAUACUACAUGUUGCCGGGGUUGCGGACAAACGUCUGGAAACGUGCUGCCAUUCCGUCAGCGUUCAACCCCUGAAGGUGUAGAAUAUAUAUCGUCGAAUUGGCGAGCCAAAUCAGCUUCCAGAUCAAAAAGCAUGUACUGUAAGCGUGGGUUGGUGUCAUUAGAAACGAGAAUUAUACCGUACGUGAGCGUCCUGACUACUUGCAUCACUCUUUUGGUGUCGCACUGUCGCUAUUAACUACUAAUAAUAAACAUAAUCCUGUAAAUCCACCUCUUUUUAAUCAUCCUAUAAAUACCUCUACUGGCGACAGCAUGGACAAAGCUCAUACGGAAAAUAACAUAGUGGUGGCCAAAGCUGUAUGGGAAAAUAUUGAUUGCAGACUAUCAAUUGGGUGCAAAAGUACUCAGUGUAAACUAUUAAUUAAGUGCAAAUAUAAAGACAAUUGCUAUGUCACAGUUGAUUGUUUUAGCCUCCGUGAAUAACUGAUUUCCUGGCCGUUUGAUUCUUAUCACGUGGGAUGAAAGAAAGACCAACAACGCUGCGGAAGCAGAGCGUGAGGAAGGACCGAAGGAGCCACCAGGGGUCCACUGAUGUCGCCAUUAGCACCAAGGAGAGGCCGUCGUCAGAGUCAGAGUCAGGGUUGUAGAGGGCUAUCACGUCCGUUGUCGAGGUCGGGGUGGGGUAAAGAUGGCAAUGGAUAAUUACCCGCUGGGUAUAUGCUACCCAUACCUUUACCGAUGAGAAAAUAUUUUACCCGUUAAUUUACAUAUCCAUGUAUGGGUAAGAGUUUUUUCCCAUACCCUUACCCACGUGGGUAACGGGUAAUCCAUGAGUUUUCUUACCCAUGAUUCUAAGAAUACUUGUAAAAAAUAAAUACAUAUUUAAAUAUUCUAGACUCCCAAUUUCAGCCAAAGUAUCAUAAGUCAUUAAUAAAAUCAUCAAAUAUACAAGCUCCAUGAAUACCUAAUCAAGUAAUCUAAUAGAUAAAUCCAUCAUUACUAGACAACAAGUGACAAAAUUUACAAGUUUCCGUGUUGUGCGGCCGCCGCAAGGAGAUAGGGGAAAGGUGAGAGAGCGGAUGUGUGAGGUACUAAGGUGAGGGCCUAGAGUUUGACAGCAUUAUAUAUGAUUUUUAUUGGACUUGGCCUGUGUAUGGUGAUUUUGGUCCAUAAUUCUAACUUAUUGAAUCGGGUCCAAUCCCAUACCCUUACUCGCUUUACCCGCUGGCUAAAGCUUUUUCCCAUUAUCUUACCUAUGGAUAAAAAAAAUAGUCAUACCUUUACCCUAAUGAAGUAAUUAACCAUCGGAUUUCGAGUAAAAAUUGACAUCUUUAAGGUGGGGAAUGGCCGCCGCAUCUACCAUAGCCACCUGCUUCCUGAGAUCCAUGGGGAAAGAGCCCGCCGCUAGCCGAGGGUGAGGAGCCGCCGCCUCUGUGUGGCCAACUUCAUGUCGGGCCUCUACCGUGGCGGGGGUAGCUCACAGAAGGGAAGGGAUAAAGUUGGUGAGGGUGGGUCCCACCAUAAUUGGUGAAUAAUUUGCCAUGUAUUUCUCUAAUAUCUACUAUCUAAAGAAAUAUUUUGUAUUUUUUUCUGAAAAGUUUGGCAUAUUUGUCUUUGAGAUAUGUAAUCUAUAAAAAUACCUAAGAUAUAUCACUAUAUCCAAUAAAUGACACUAUGUGUUAGCAUUUUCUCACUACAUUUUCAAAGGUGUUAACACACUAGAUUCUAAUGCAUAUGCAUUAUCAACAACAGCUAGUGACACUUGAUAAACCGCUUUUAACCAUAAUUUUCCUCUCUUUAUAGUACAGCUAUCUAGUCGACUAGUCCAAACCCAAUUAUAUCCUCUAUGGUAUCUUGAUUGGCGAAACAAGAAUGGCCCUAUCACAUACCUUUGCCUUAAGCUCAUUUUUAUUUUUCUCUUUCUUUUUUUCCAAGUUGGAGCACUUGAUCUUCACACUUGACCACCUCCAUCAUCUAUAGAUGCCAUAAUCUAGCUGGUGUGUACCAAUCCUAUUUCCUAUCUUAUAUACACCUAAAGCAAUGGUUAGUAGACUUAGAUCUCAUCAAUUAUCCGAAACUAAACUAGAACUUUCAUGUAGUGACACAACAUCUACUUUCUCUCACCCUUCCUCUUUCAUGGAAUGCAAGCAUUCAUACAUCAUUAGUAUGUUGUAUGUAAUGAGUCUCUCUAGCACAAACACCGACUGUUCUUCCGAAAUCACCUUUGGGAAAAAAUAAUCCACAGUCUGUUUGCCACCGUCUUAGAAGCAAUCUUAUAUAUCAUGUUACAUAGACUGAUGAUAGGCCAAAACAGCCCGCUCGACCAACUUCUCCACUUUUGUGAUCAAUACUAUUCAUGUGCUAUUUAUCACAGAAGGAUCAUCCUCGCCACAUAAGUCCUAGUGCCGCUAAAAAAAAUGAGCAGGAAAACCAUCUGGCCCCGGCGUUUUUGUCUUAAACAUGUGAGAAAGCUUAGUCCUGAUCUCCUCCUUUCGUAUACAAGGCGAGUGUCCUGACAACUACUUGCAUCACUCUUUUGAUGUUGCACUAUCGUUGUUAGCCUUAUCAUUAACUCCUUUCCUCUCUAAUCUCUAGAAUUAAGCAAAGAUUUGAAUGCUUUCUCAAUUUACCAUCAUAUAAUUAUUAUAUUAUAAUAUAAUCAAAUAAAUACACCUCUUUUUAUUCAUCCCGCAAAUAUAUCUAGUGGCAAUGAGUAUGGAAAGAGCUAAUACGAAAACUAUCAUAGUGGUGGCCAAAUACAUGAGAAAAUAUUCAGUGCAAACUAUAGAUUGGGUGCAAACAUAAACCCUUUAUAACAUAAUUAGAUGUUUUCUUAAAAAAAUGCCCACUUCGCCACUAAAGUUAAGAUACAAAGAAAUGGGGUGGGGGUGUGAUGCAAAGAUAUUGGAGAGUGAAUCUCUUCUUUCAAACCUCCCAAGAAACUAGUCACAAAGUAAACAUAAUCGUAGGAGCUAUUGUACAAUAGAAUUUGAUGCGCAGGCUGUUCAAGCUACUCAAAUUACUGUGACCGAACUAGUCUACUGAAGAUGAUUGUUUCAUACAUAACUCAUAUUGGUCACGAUUAAAAUAAUUACAAACCGCAUCACAAGAGCAGGCCAAGAUGUGAAACAACCACACAACUCUUUAAAUUGUAACCAAGUGGCAGCGGUCCUCCAGAACUCAAUGCAACAGAGCUAGGCUUCAAUGUCUCGCUGAUAGAGUACAUCUCAAAAUAGAUCUUACAGUGAUCCUUCCACAACCAUAAAUUGUCACCAUCAAAUUUGGGGAAAUAUGAUUUGGGCAUCGGACCAACUGGAGAUGUAUAAGAAUAUGAAUGUUCCAUCGGUCCACCUAUCAUUCCCUUGUACUUGCGUGCCCGUUAGUUAGCUAUUAUGUUCCUCUUUUUUAUUGGAUCCCAAACACCUCUGCUUCUAGACCAACUUCCAUCGUCGUCUACACAUAUCCCAUGGAGUUAGAGCAAGUUUAAUUAAUACAGUCCACUUGCUGACUGUAAGGUUCCUUACAGCCUUCUUUCAGCCCCACCCAUACAAUAGUUAGUUAUUCAUUAUUAAUACAUGACUCACUUAUCUCUCUUACAAAGUUUUCAGCUUACAACAUGCUUCUCUUCUCUCUCCUCCACCUCAGUAUUUAGCCAGCUUACAGCCCACUAUAAUACUUGCUCUUAUGACAAAUGCCUACUUCUCUCGCCUUUUUAGUGAACACUAUAACUCCUGGAGUCUUCAUAUUAUUCGAAAAAUAAAUUCAAAUUUCAACAAUGACACAUUCAGCAGAAUAAAAAGUCUCCAAAUUUCUAUUAAAAAAGAGCAAACAUUCCUUAUUCAGUCAAACUUGCAAAGGAUUUCAAAACAGAAGACCUCGUAUAACCAUGAGGGUGUAAGUAAUCUCACAAACAAAGCAUCACAAACCACUUAUAAUCUCAAGUCCAUACACGGUACACCACACACUGCAUAGAGCAACUUUAUUUUGUUUUGUAUGAAAAAAGAGGAAAACUCCAGGAAAGAAAAAAGAAAAUUAAACCCAAACUUCAGGAAGGGGAAUCGCAUCCCAAUCGACUGAUUUAGUUGUAGGCGUCGGGGUUGGCGACGAGGUAGGCCUCGGCACCCUUGAAAAUGGCGGUGACUGCCUCCUUGGCCUUGACUUCCUCGUCCUUCUCGUCUACGCCAGGCAGCAGCUUGUAGGUCGACUCCACCUUCACCACGCUGCCGCCGCCGGCCGCGGGCUCCACCUUGAUGUGCGACGCCGCGGUCUCGAUGGCAACACCGAUGCCGCCGCCCUCGACGAGCGUGUUCUUGCACUCGCACUUGUCCACGUCCAGGAAAUCGAGCCUCUCCUUCAUGAAGCUGAACGGCAUGACUGCAAGAACGAUCGCGCACGUCAUUCGCUAGCUAUUUGAUCGAUCGAUCGGGCGACAACAUGUUGGUCUGGGCGACUGGGCAUGCUGCGGACACUUACAUGAGGUGAAGUUGAACUGCCUGACGCUGCCAACGCCGCCGUCGCCCUCCACGGGGUGGGCGCUGGCGACGACGUGGGAGGCGACCUUGGGCGCCAGGGUGUGCCAGUCCAUCACGGCGGCGCGGAACAGGCGCGGCGCGGCCACCGGCGAUGGAAUCUCCAGGGUCCAGCUGCUGGCGGAGGCCAUUACUUCAGUGAUCGGCCGAUCGACUAAACUUGUGCUAGCUGAAGCUGGUUAGGUGCUCAGCUCUAUGGGUGGCAGCUACUGCUUGUGUUGCCAUGACACUGGCGGACUGAGGGCUUUAAAUAAUAGGCCGUUAUGGCGGGGGUUGGUGGCGUCCCGUGAGGAUGUGUAUGAGACGCCCGGGACGGAGUCGUCGUCGGCUCUUCCCACUUGGGUUGGCUUGGCACGGCACCGCGUGACUCAUCGGUCCAUUAGUCCAUUAUUUUAUCGAUAUCAAUAUGUAUGUUGCCGGGCUGCGGACAGCCGGACACACGUCACCAAACGGGCUGCCAUUCCGUCAACGUUCAACAUCUAGAAGGUGUGGAAUAUGUCGUCGAAUGGCACACCGUCGGGUCUGUUUGGAACGAAAGUGAGAGAAAAUACAGGAAAUAGAUAAGGAAUACAAUGGUCCUGUUUAAGUUAGAGGUUAGAGUUAUUCUCUAGUUUAUGACUAGCCCUCAAGUAACUCUAGCCAAAGAGAUGUUUGUAUGCAAGGGUUAGUGUUGAUGCAAAACUGAUCUGCAAACACAAAGGGCUAAUACCCGAUCCAAACGUUAAGGCGUGCCAGCCGAUUUAACCUUACUAUCGGCAAAGGUGAUAACUCGAAUACUUUAGUCCUGACAACAGCGAUGCGCCCGGAUGUCACGGCUAAGAGGUACUCACGCGGAACUUGAGAACACGCCGAGCUUAAGUCGACGAAUUCCUAAGAACUCGUAGUAAAAAGGAAAAAGUACGACGAAGUCGUCGAAAAAGUAGAUGCUGGAAUAUGAGUAAAAACGUGUGUUUGAUUGAUUGAUAGAUAGCUCAUUACAAGGCCCUAGGGUCUAUAUUUAUACCCUGCUCAAAGAGCUACAACCAGACACGAUUAGAAUUCGAAUUCCAAACUACACGGAAUCCGUAUACAAAACGAUGUAAAUAAUUAAAGAAAUAACAAAACUAUCCCCCGUGACAAACUGAAACUCCUCCAUACAACGACCGGCAGCUUCCGGACUCCCUCUUUGCAUCAUCGGCAGAUCUUUUGCCAUAGUCAUCGGCAGACUUUCUUAUCCAGUCAUCGGCACAAUCAUAUCACUGCCUGUAGACUUAGUCACGUUCAACUUCUCCUUCAUCGGCAACCAUCCUCAUCGGCAACUCACCCUGUAAACAUCGUACUGCCAUCUUAUCCUGCCAUCCUAGACACGUGCACAAAAACGGUGUCAACACAUGCCCCCCAGUUUCGGAGUAUAAAACUAUUAAUGCUCCGAAAUUCUCUGCAGUAAUGAUGCCUUUUCCCGCAAUUAAUGCUCCUAAUCUGGUAACCGACAACCUCAAUCUGAACAACUCUGAUCCUAUUCCUCCGCAGAUUCCUCGAAAUCCCCAACUUCCUAAACGGGCAUUUCUUCUCAGUCGUACGUCGGCAAUAAUACCGUUACAAAGAUUUGCCGAUGUUCUGACCAGGAUAUUCGCACAAAUGGUUACUUCCCCUCGAUCCGCCCAUCGGCAAUAUGACCGUUAUAGAAUGCUGCCGAUGGACCGACCAGGAGAUCUAGCACAGUAAAAUAUCUUCAGAUAAUGACCGCUUCCCGUCAAAUCACCUGCACAAUCCCUGGAUUAUCGUGCGAACAGUUACCAUAUCUUCCUGAGUACCCUCGGAUCUCUCGGAAGCGGCAAAGAGAAAAGUCAGAUUUGCCCUUGCCCAUUUCGUCCUAUAAAUAGUUCCUUCUCGGGUACUCCUUCCCUAUCACAUCAUUCCACCACCCAAGUUUACUUUUCCAGCGGCGGCGCCAUCCGAAGCUCCCAAGACCUCCAACAAGCAUUCUUCCUCAUCAACCCCGGUGUCUUCAAACACUUCCUUCGCAGCAAGAUGGCCGUCGGCUUCGUCGUUCCUGAGGUCAAAUCUCCACCCCGUCUCCUGUAUUUUUCUUCAUAUCCCUGUUCACUCGCAAUUCAUUUUACUGAAUAUCUCCCUUUUCUUUUCUCUUUGUAUUUCUUUUUAUCCCAAAAAUCACUAGGAAUUGUCCAAUAAAAUUGUCAUCCCCACUGAUCAACCACACCUCCAAUGUCUCGGUCCUCUAGGAGAUCCAGAUCCAACCGACCUUAUUAAUGCAGAAACCAACAGGAUCCCCUUUAGAACUGAAAAUUUUUCUUUAGAUCUGUGGAAAGAUACCUUCCGUUCUUGGCCUAGCCCUACCGUAGGGUGGAAAGACUGGUUCUUGAGAGUCAGCAAUUCUUAUGAAGUCCAGUGGGGCGAAAGGAAGCUAGCCCAAUGCAUUAGAUUGUCCAUUGCCGAUAUGCAUAGGAACGAGUCAUGCUGAUAGCUGCAUCCUACUUUUGGUCAGACACCCUCAAUGCUUUCGCCUUUGGCCACGGCCCUGCUUCUCCUACCCUUGCCGAUGUGGCCAUGCUUACUGGUCUAGAUAUAUCUUCUGCCGAUAGCACCUACUUUUUUGAUACUGCCCCUAGUGCCAAAGUGGAGACUCGCGCUAUCGGCGGUUGGUCAGGGUACAUUCAGAAGUACCGUGGGAAAGGAUCCGUCACCAUAAAGGAACAAACCACCUUUCUGAACAUGUGGCUGGACAAGUUUGUAUUCUGUGGUCGAUCGGCAGGACCAACUUCCGUUUAUCUAUCGGCAGCGGAGAGACUGGCUAACGGUGGCCAAUUUCCUCUCGGCCGAUACUUGCUUGGCGCUGUUUACCACCUUCUCCAUCAGGUAGCCCAGAAACUCCUGCUCGGCCAGUCCAUCGGCAACCUGGGAGGCCCCUGGUGGUUUAUUAAUAUGUGGCUCAAUCUGCACCUGCAUAAGCGCCUUGAUUUCAACUUGUUCACACAGCACUUCCCAAGAGAUAUAGCCGAAAACCAUGUGUUGGGUGAAGAGGAAUCGGCAACGCGUGCCCCCUUGAACUUUGGCGAAGCUGUCAUCGUUCUACCUGGUUCAGGGAGUAAUCCGGAUCAGAUCGGCCGAUUCUUCCAGGUUCUGUAUGAGGGUUUGGCCAGAGACGAACGACCAUGGUUGGCUUAUGAUGACCCAGAUAGCAUGCUCCCUCUGUCCUUCAAUCCAUUUGAUGAAGCUCUCGACAGGGACAAUGAGACGAUGAUGGCAAUUGUGACUCCCAGAAUCAUUCCAGUGAAUUUUUUUUGGUAGCACAAAAACCUCUCCUCAGACUUAUGAAUUUUACAAUCCAUCGGCAUUAGCUCGCCAGUUAGCUUUCGGCCAGUUGCCGAUUGCACUUCCUUAUGCCGAUGUGAUAAAACCCAGAGAAACCAUCAACAACCUCCUUGAGUGGAUUCGAGUAGCCCAACUACCACCAAACGCCGAUACAGAUGUAGAUCUGUCAGAAUGGGUUCCGGCUGCUUUUAUCACUCAGGCAUACAAGUUAUGGUGGGCAGAGUGGAAAGAGCAUCUAUUCUGCAGAUCGGCCCUUUCAUACCGCGGCAUGAUCGACUCCGAAUACGAAGUUCCCGAUGACACUGUAAGUAACUCAAACCGAUGUUCCAUUUUCUCAAUACUAUUUCCAUCGAUAGCUUACCCUUGUAUUCCUUUCGCAGGUUGACAACAUCCCCCCAUCGGUUAGCAGGAGCGGCAAGCCGAUCGACUUGUUUCCAUCAGGCCCGAUUUCCUCCAUCGGCCACAAUGCUCCUAUCCUGGCUUCCAUCGUGCAUCGGGGUGUGCGUCUCAGGAAAGUCACCACCAGGAGAACCCAGACAUCACCAACGGUAGCUGCUCCCACUCUGGCGCGGGCUUUCAAGGAAAUUUGUCAAAUCUUUUCCUUUAUGCUGACUAUCUUUAUAUCGGCUAUAUUUAUGCUUAUAAACUCUUGUUCGUUAUUGCAGCAAACCGGCGCAUCGGCGAAAGCCAGGCGUGAAAGUGCCGAUGCCCCCCAGUCUAGCCAACCAAAGAGAAAAGGCACCACAGGUGCUAAGACUGGAACAAAGCGCCAGAAGGUAGCAACUCCCCCUCCUCCUCCGGUGUCUCCAAUUCCGGUGGAGUCUUCUCCUUCUUCUCCAGAAGCCCAGCCACAGCAAGCACCGUCUCCCCAACCUAUGCAGGAAGCACCACAGAUAGAAGAACCCCAGCAGGAAGGAUCCCAAACAGAAGGUACAUCAGCUGAUGUGGGUGGACAAACAACUGGCCCGGAGGGUCCAAUUACACCAUCGGCGGUUCUCCCGAUUCAGACAACCGUUGUUCCACCUCCAGGUAACAUACUUUAACAAUACCGCUACCGAUGAACUUAUUCCCAUUUAGUCUCAUAACUCCUCUUAUCUUCUUUCAGCUGAUAUCGUUCCAUCGGCAACCUCAGCCGAUCAACCUGUAGUUCCAUCGGCAUCUUUGGCCGAUCAGCCUGCAGCUCCGUCAGCACUUCUCAGUCAAAGACAAGAGAUCGCCUUGAAGCAAGUAAGUCACCGUUUACCGUUAGCAUUAUUUGCCGAUUCUCUGAAUAUGAGCUAACUUUGCUUUCCCUCCCAGGAACAAGAUUCUCCCGACAGCCUGUUCUCCUUCGCCAUCGAUCUCUCUGAAGAAGAAGGUGAAGAAGCAAGCUCUUCUCAGGCAGUCGGCAUUACAUCGGCAGAGAUCAGGGUCAGGCUGGAAGAAUUGUCAGCUCUCCUUCAUCAGGACACAGCACAAUUGGUUGAUGACUCCGAUCCUACCAAGACCCUGUUCAGAACUCUCAGAGGCCAAAUCCCAGCCGAUGUCGAAGAAAUCCUAUUCCAAGCCGCUCAUCUGGAGAGUCGCCAGCUACAGUACCAGAGAGCUUCUCGGCGUCUUGCCGAUAGAGCCGCUCAGACUCAACUCUCCGAUGAAAUGAGGAAGGAGAAGCUCUUGACCGAUGAGAAGCACAAGAACAUCGGUAUCCUGAGAUCUUCUGGAGACGCGCUGAAGAAGAAAAUAUCCGAUCUGUCGGCAAGAAGAGAAUCCCUGUUGGCGGAGCUCAAGGAAGUGGAGAACGCCCUAUCCCAAGCCCAACAGGAAGAGAGCCAAUUGUCAGAGACCAUCAGGCUUCUUGAGCACGAGCGAAACGCUCAUGGUCGCAAGGCACUUCAACUGAAGAAGAAGCUGAAGCCGAUAGAAGGUUCUGCCGAUGAUGACAUCAAGAAAAUAGAAGCAGCCAACCAAAUUCGGCUACGCGCUAUAUCGGCAAUCCAGGCGUUGCUUAAUACAUAGAGUUUCCAUUGGAUUUAUAUCCGUGCUUUCCUGCUUCCUCAGCUUUUAGUCUAGCCGAUAGGACUGUUAUCGGCACCUAAACUUUUGAAACACCAAGUCUUGUCCCCAAACAUUUGGAUCCAGUCGAUAGGAGUGUUAUCGGCACUUAAACUUCUAUGCAUCGACCCAUAUACUGGGGUAGUACUUCUUUAAAUAUUUGCCGUUUAAUGCUCUGGGAAAUUCAACUCCUUCGAGGGUUUCUAGAAUGUAGGCAUUACCAGGAGCCGAUCGACUUAUCCGAUAAGGACCCUCCCAAUUAGGAGACCACUUUCCAAACUUCGAACCUUUAGUCCCAAUUGGUAGAAUUAAUUUCCACACCAAAUCCCCAUCGGCAAACUCUUUAGCCUUCACUUUCUUAUCAUACCAUCUAGCAACUCUCUUCUUAUUUUCUUCUAUACUCAUUAAAGCUUUUAACCGAUGCCCUGCUAGAUCAUCCAAUUCAUCGGUCAUUAAAGUGGCAUAAUCAUCGGCAGUUAAUUGAUCUUGAAAAGAUAAUCGCCUAGAUCCAGCCUUAAUUUCCCAAGGCAACACCGCAUCAUGUCCAUACACCAAUUGAUAGGGUGACACCUUGGUUGAUCCAUGACAAGCCAUCCGAUAAGACCACAAUGCUUCAUUUAAUAAUGUAUGCCACCGCUUAGGAUUUUCUUCAAUCUUUCGUUUAAUAAGCUUGAUAAUUCCUUUGUUAGACGCUUCGGCCUGCCCAUUGGCUUGAGCAUAAUAAGGAGAAGAAUUCAACACUUUAAUCCCCAUACCGACUGCGAAUUCAUCGAACUCCCCCGAUGUGAACAUGGUGCCCUGAUCGGUAGUAAUCGUUUGGGGAAUCCCAAAUCGGUAAAUAAUAUGCUCCUUCACAAAAUCAAUCAUAUUGGCCGAUGUGACUUUCUUCAAAGGAAUAGCUUCAACCCACUUAGUGAAAUAAUCAGUGGCAACUAGAAUAAACUUAUGCCCUUUGCUAGAUGGUGGAUAAAUCUGGCCGAUCAGAUCGAUGGCCCAUCCCCGGAACGGCCAAGGCUUUAUUAUAGGAUUCAUAGCCGAUGCGGGUGCUCUCUGGAUAUUACCAAACUUUUGACAACCUUGACAUCCCUUGAAAUAUUCAAAACAAUCCUCAAGUAUGGUCGGCCAAAAAUAUCCAUUCCUUCGAAUCAUCCACUUCAUCUUAAAAGCUGACUGAUGCGCUCCACACACUCCUUCAUGGAUUUCCCCCAUCAAACUUCUAGCUUCAUCAUCACCCAAGCAUUGGAGAAGAAUUCCGUCGAUAGUUCGAUAAUACAAUUCAUCUUCAAGAAGCACAUACUUGCUUGCUUGAAAUCGAACCUGUCUUUCAACUUUUUUGGAUGGAUCUUUUAGAUAAUCAAUAAUUUCUUUCCUCCAAUCAUCGGCACCGAUUGCCGAUAUUGCAUUAAUCAUUGGCUGAUAUCCCGAAGCAUGUUGAGCUAACCGAUUGGCGUCUUCAUUAUGCAAUCGAGGAACAUGCUCUAAUCGGAAAUCCUUGAAUUCCUUUAACAGUUGCAUACUUCUCUCGAAAUAAGUUAUGAGAACUUCACUUCGGCAUUCAUAGCUCCCGGCCAAUUGAUUUAUAACCAACAUAGAAUCCCCGAAGAUCUCAACAGCAUCAGCACGAACUUCUCUUAACAACUCCAAUCCCUUGAUCAGAGCCUGAUACUCAGCCUGGUUAUUUGUUGAUGUGGCAACAAUCGGCAAGGAAAACUCAUACUUCCUCCCCUUAGGGGAAACUAAUACAAUGUCGAUUCCUGCCCCCCGGUCACAGGUAGAUCCAUCAAAGAAGAGUGUCCAGGGUACAAUUUCCAAGGUUUCCACCAUACCGCAAUGCUGAGUCACAAAAUCGGCCAUAAUCUGCCCUUUGACUGCCUUGGCCGAUUCGUAACGCAAAUCGAACUCCGACAGCGCUAAAAUCCAUUUACCGAUCCUACCACUCAUAAUCGGCAUAGAUAGCAUGUACCGGACCACGUCAUCUUUGCAAACAACAGUGCAUUCGGCCGAUAACAGGUAAUGUCUCAGCUUGAUACAUGAAAAAUAUAAGCAUAGGCAUAGUUUCUCAAUGGCCGAAUACCUGGUUUCAGCAUCAAUCAACCUCCUACUCAAGUAGUAAAUUACCCUUUCUUUCCCUUCAAAUUCUUGAACUAAAGCUGAACCGAUAACCGAUCCAUCGGCAGACAAAUACAAUCUGAAGGGCUUUCCUUGUUGAGGUGGAACCAGAACUGGAGGAUUUACUAGAUAUUUCUUUAUUUCACCCAGAGCCAACUGCUGUUCUUUUCCCCAAAUAAAUUCUUGAUCGGCUUUCAAUUUAAGAAGAGGACUGAAAGCACGAAUCUGACCAGACAGAUUAGAUAUAAAUCUCCUGAUAAAGUUUACCUUGCCGAUCAAGGACUGGAGUUCGGUCUUGUUGGUAGGGGCCACUAUUUUAUUGAUGGCAUCAAUGGAUCUUCGACUAAUUUCAAUACCCCUUUGAUGUACCAUGAAACCAAGAAACUGCCCUGCCGAUACACCAAAUGCACACUUGUUGGGAUUCAUCUUCAAUCCAUGCUUCCUUGUGCACUCUAACACUUUCUGUAAAUCGGCAAGAUGCUUUGAGAAAUCUCCAGACUUGACCACCACAUCGUCAAUAUAAAUCUCCACGAGCUUGCCGAUGAACUCAUGAAAUAUAAAAUUCAUAGCCCUUUGAUAAGUAGCACCAGCAUUCUUCAACCCAAAGGUCAUGACUAUCCAUUCAAAUAACCCAACAUGACCAGGACACCUGAAUGCGGUUUUUGGAAUAUCCUCCUCUGCCAUGAAUAUUUAAUUGUAUCCUGCAUUACCAUCCAUAAAGCUGAUGACCCGAUGACCAGCUGCAGCAUCAACCAGCAGAUCGGCGACAGGCAUUGGGUAUCCAUCCAUCGGCGUAGCUUUGUUGAGAUUCCUGAAAUCAAUGCACACUCGAAGCUUCCCGUUCUUCUUGUAAACCGGAACAACAUUGGAAAUCCACUCGGCAUACCAACACUGCCGAAUAAACUUAGCUUCAAUAAGUUUGGUGAUUUCGGCCUUAAUAUCAGGUAGAAUGUUAGGAUUACACCGGCGAGCUGGUUGCUGAUGUGGCCGAAAUCCAGACUUGAUGGGUAACCGAUGCUCAACAAUUGACCGGUCUAAACCAGGCAUCCCAGUAUAAUCCCAAGCAAAGCAAUCUUUAUAUUCCUUUAACAAACUAGUCAAUUGUUGCUUACACUCAGGAUCUAAUUUGGCACUAAUAAAAGUAGGCCUAGGCUUAUCACCACUACCUAUAUCUACUUCUACCAAAUCAUCGGCCGAUGUGAAUCCCUGGCCUAAUUUUCCAUCAUCGGCGAAUCUAUCCAUUAAAAACCGUCGUCAGAACCAACUGCUUGGAUCGGUGGAAUCUCGUAAUCGGCAACUUUGAGAAAAUCUUUCUCCCAAACUUCCCCUGAAAUGCACCUGGUCCUUUCGUAAGUAUCCGCCUCUGCCGAUGCGAUAACAUAAGAAGAAUCUCCUGGGACAAUCUCAAUCUUGUCACCUACCCACUGAACCAAGCAUUGGUGCAUUGUAGAUGGGAUACAACAAUUGGCAUGAAUCCAAUCUCUUCCCAACAAUAAGUUGUAAGCACCUUUUCCACUGAUCACGAAGAAAGUUGUUGGCAAGGUUUUGCUGCCGAUGGUGAACUCCACACAUAUUGCCCCCUUGACUGGAGACACGUUUCCUUCAAAGUCUUUGAGCAUCAUAUCGGUCUUGGUCAAAUCAUGAUCCCCUUUCCCAAGCUUCCGAUAUACUGCAUACGGCAUAAUAUUAAUAGCAGCUCCACCA
rnacentral:lncRNA from 1 species